GAUGACUCCGCCGCCGCGCUACUCGCUCCGCGCCUCCUCCCUCUGCCCUCGACAGAGAUGAAGUAGUUCCCCACCGCCGCCGCACUCCACCGCGGCCUACCCUUGCCGGCGCUAAUCACCCUCGCGUCGAUGGAUCCGACGCCCUUCGCCCACCGCCCUCCAACCAUUCGCUGUCAUCCGGCGUCUAUCGCCGUCACUAUUGGAUGCAGGCCGCUGCCCCGGCGUCGACUGCUCUCACUAUUGGAUCAAGGCCGUCAACCACCGUCGGGCGUCAUCCACUGCCACGGCCGCCCGCCGCCUGAUCGAGCAGGCCAACACCCAUCUCCAACGCCUGCGAGCCUUGUAGGUGAACCAUGUACAGAGGCGUGGGGGAUAAUCACUAAUCAAGCAGAUUUUCAUGGAUCUAACUUAUUACCUAAGUUUUCUCCUCUUUGGUGAUGGAGCCGGUUCAGGUGCCCUGUAGGCCUGUAAUGGAAUAGUUGCCACAUCCCCAGGAAAUCAAGCAUGGUCAGUUGCAUACACUGGCCGUUGUAGAGGCUGAAUGCAUCAUCGAAGCUGGGAACGUGGUUGAGGGGCCGAUGUGAUUAUGGUGUUUGUUACGAGUGACAUUGACCUGAUGGUGCCGGCGUUCGACACAACGGGUGACUAGUUGAAUGGUCAAGCGGCUGCUUACGCUGGUGCCUAGGUUGGUAGACCUGGCGUGCUCAAGAUCACUAGCGCGGUGAGCAUCUCUGCCAUCGAUGCUAGGUGGUUGCUGAGGUGAUGUUCUUCAACAGUGGGAUCCCAUAUUCCCAUUGCUGCUCAUUGUCGAAUGGGAUGGCAAACCAGUUGGUGAUGGUACCUGAACUAAGUUUUGAUUAAUCGGAGCAGUGCUGAUUGGAAAGAUAAUAUUAUUGGAGCAAUAUUAUUCGGAAAAGUGUAUUUUGUGGGAGCAGUUUGGCAAGGGUUUUAUUGGAGCAAUUCUGGUUGGAAUUAUAUUUGUAUCGGAUCAAUACUUAUUGGAAAGGAUUUUAUCAGAGCAAUGUUGAUUAGGAAGGUUUGUGUAAGUGUGGUCAGAAAUUUAUCCCCUUGCAAUUUAAUAGAUGCACUCUAUUAUGCUUACAAGAAUUAAUGUGCAUUUUUUUGAAAGAAUUAUUUUCUUUGAGAUCUUGAUGUUUCUUGUCCAGGCAUUCCCAUGAGUUGCAAAUCCAAGGAAGUUGAUAACAGCCAUCUAUACUAAUAUAAAAAGGAGGAGUUCACCCCUUCAAUCCUACAGGUGAAAUCAUUCUAUUUCAUCUCAUCCGUCCAUCCGCCAUCUCAGAUAAUCUCAUCCGUCCACCCUCCAUCUCAUAUCUCAUCUCGCUCCACCGAUUCCAACGAUUUCGGCGACCCUAUGCUCUCCCCCGGUCGUGAUGACUCCGCUCACCCCCAUGCGCGCUUUACUCGCUCCCUCCGCCCGUCCCCGUGCGAUAACUCCACCCCUAUGGUCCUCCUCUUUGUUUGUUAAACAUACCAUUUACACUUAACAUUUUUAUCCUCUGUAUAUCACUUGCAAUGGAGCUUUGAUUUUUCUAUUA